AGCCUGAUCUAGCCAUGCCGCGUGAGUGACGAAGGCCCUAGGGUGCGUAAAGCUCUUUCGCCAGGGAUGAUAAUGACAGUACCUGGUAAAGAAACCCCGGCUAACUCCGUGCCAGCAGCCGCGGUAAUACGGAGGGGGUUAGCGUUGUUCGGAAUUACUGGGCGUAAAGCGCGCGGUAGGCGGACUAUUAAGGUCAGGGGGUGAAAGUCCCGGGGGCUCAACCCCGGAACUGCCUUUGAUACUGGGUAGGUCUUGAGGUUCGAGAGAGGUGAGUGGGAAGU
rnacentral:rRNA from 1 species